GUCCACGCCGUAAACGAUGGGUGCUAGGUGUGGGUGGUGUCGACUCCAUCCGUGCCGAAGCUAACGCAUUAAGCACCCCGCCUGGGGAGUACGGCCGCAAGGCUAAAACUCAAAGGAAUUGACGGGGGCCCCGCACAAGCAGCGGAGCAUGUGGUUUAAUUCGACGCGACGCGAAGAACCUUACCAGGGCUUGACAUGCACGGGAAAACCGUAGAAAUACGGUCCUCCUUCGGGACUCGUGCACAGGUGGUGCAUGGCUGUCGU
rnacentral:rRNA from 1 species